rnacentral:rRNA from 1 species
AGAGUUUGAUCCUGGCUCAGGACGAACGCUGGCGGCGUGCUUAACACAUGCAAGUCGAGCGGUAAGGCCUCCUUCGGGGGGUACACGAGCGGCGAACGGGUGAGUAACACGUGAGUAAUCUGCCCUUCACUCUGGGAUAAGCACCGGAAACGGUGUCUAAUACCGGAUACGACCAACUGCUGCAUGGUGUGUUGGUGGAAAGUUUUUUCGGUGGGGGAUGUGCUCGCGGCCUAUCAGCUUGAUGGUGGGGUAAUGGCCUACCAUGGCGUCGACGGGUAGCCGGCCUGAGAGGGUGACCGGUCACACUGGGACUGAGACGCGGCCCAGACUCCUACGGGAGGCAGCAGUGGGGAAUAUUGGACAAUGGGCGGAAGCCUGAUCCAGCAACGCCGCGUGAGGGAUGACGGCCUUCGGGUUGUAAACCUCUUUCAUCACCGACGAAGUCCUCGCUUUUGGGGUGGGGGUGACGGUAGGUGGAGAAGAAGCACCGGCCAACUACGUGCCAGCAGCCGCGGUAAUACGUAGGGUGCGAGCGUUGUCCGGAAUUAUUGGGCGUAAAGGGCUCGUAGGCGGUUUGUCGCGUCGGGAGUGAAAACACCGGGCUUAACUCGGUGCUGGCUUUCGAUACGGGCAGACUAGAGGUAUGCAGGGGAGAACGGAAUUCCUGGUGUAGCGGUGAAAUGCGCAGAUAUCAGGAGGAACACCGGUGGCGAAGGCGGUUCUCUGGGCAUGUCCUGACGCUGAGGAGCGAAAGUGUGGGGAGCGAACAGGAUUAGAUACCCUGGUAGUCCACACCGUAAACGUUGGGCGCUAGGUGUGGGAUCCAUUCCACGGGUUCCGUGCCGCAGCUAACGCAUUAAGCGCCCCGCCUGGGGAGUACGGCCGCAAGGCUAAAACUCAAAGGAAUUGACGG